GCAUAUCAAUAAGCGGAGGAAAAGAAACCAACAGGGAUUGCCCUAGUAACGGCGAGUGAAGCGGCAACAGCUCAAAUUUGAAAUCUGGCUCUCUUUGGGGGUCCGAGUUGUAAUUUGCAGAGGAUGCUUUGGCAUUGGCGGCGGUCUAAGUUCCUUGGAACAGGACAUCACAGAGGGUGAGAAUCCCGUACGUGGUCGCCUGCCUUUGCCGUGUAAAGCUCCUUCGACGAGUCGAGUUGUUUGGGAAUGCAGCUCUAAAUGGGAGGUAAAUUUCUUCUAAAGCUAAAUACUGGCCAGAGACCGAUAGCGCACAAGUAGAGUGAUCGAAAGAUGAAAAGUACUUUGGAAAGAGAGUCAAAAAGCACGUGAAAUUGUUGAAAGGGAAGCGCUUGCAGCCAGACUUGCCCGCAGUUGCUCACCUAGGCUUUGGCCUGGGGCACUCUUCUGCGGGCAGGCCAGCAUCAGUUUGGGCGGUUGGAUAAAGGCCUCUGUCACGUAUCUCCCUUCGGGGUGACCUUAUAGGGGAGGCGCAAUGCAACCAGCCCGGACUGAGGUCCGCGCAUCUGCUAGGAUGCUGGCGUAAUGGCUGUAAGCGGCCCGUCUUGAAACACGGACCAAGGAGUCUAACAUCUAUGCGAGUGUUUGGGUGUCAAGCCCGAGCGCGCAAUGAAAGUGAACGGAGGUGGGAACCCUUUGGGUGCACCAUCGACCGAUCCUGAUGUCUUCGGAUGGAUUUGAGUAAGAGCAUAGCUGUUGGGACCCGAAAGAUGGUGAACUAUGCUUGAAUAGGGUGAAGCCAGAGGAAACUCUGGUGGAGGCUCGCAGCGGUUCUGACGUGCAAAUCGAUCGUCAAAUUUGGGCAUAGGGGCGAAAGACUAAUCGAACCAUCUAGUAGCUGGUUCCUGCCG
rnacentral:rRNA from 1 species